rnacentral:rRNA from 1 species
CCUACGGGAGGCAGCAGUGGGGAAUAUUGGGCAAUGGGCGCAAGCCUGACCCAGCAACGCCGCGUGAAGGAAGAAGGCUUUCGGGUUGUAAACUUCUUUUAAGAGGGAAGAGCAGAAGACGGUACCUCUUGAAUAAGCCACGGCUAACUACGUGCCAGCAGCCGCGGUAAUACGUAGGUGGCAAGCGCUGUCCGGAUUUACUGGGUGUAAAGGGCGUGCAGCCGGGAAGGUAAGGCAGAUGUGAAAUCCCCGGGCUCAACCGCGGAACUGCAUUUGAAACUGGUUUUCUUGAGUACCGGAGAGGUAAGCGGAAUUCCAUGUGUAGCGGUGAAAUGCGUAGAUAUAAGGAAGAACACCAGUGGCGAAGGCAGAUGACUGGACGGCAACUGACGGUGAGGCGCGAAAGCGUGGGGAGCAAACAGGAUUAGAUACCCCGGUAGUC